CUCUCUCCUCCCUCACGCGUUCUCUCCUUUCUCUCUCCCCGACUCCGUCGCUCUCCCUUCCUCUCUCUGCAACUCCGGCCACCGGCCACGGCAGCGCACGAGACCGGACUCGAUCGAACCGCCACCUCCUCCUCUCUCUUCCCCGGCCAGCACCGCACCUGGAGUCGUCGACAGCCGCCGGAAAUCGCAGAAAACAGGCCGGAAAAUCGCGGAACUUCCAAGCCUUCGAUCUCCCUCGUUUCUCAACCAAAUUCGACGAGUGAGGUAUUCCAACUCCACCUACACAGCAGGCAGGACCCCCUCAGGGUCACGCAGCUUGGGACUAUUUCCAGUAGUUGACUGGAAUGAGCUGCAGUGCCGUGUUUUGUACCCUUGCUAUCACAAGCCGCAGUACUUGAGCUUUCUUGGAGCCUCAGUGCUAUGUAAAUACGUAAAACUUCAUUUUUGCUAGUUUGUUGUACUCUGUAGACUUGCUCUGUUAUCGCCUGUUAGGAUUUGGUAUUUUGAGGCCAGAGGCCAUAGUUUGUAAUACUAUGCUUUGUGUAAUGCAUGUUGGCUGUUGGGUUGUUUUUAUCUGUAAUUUUGACAGGUUUGGAAUUUUGGGAUUUGUCCUG